UUACUGGGCGUAAAGGGUGCGUAGGCGGUCUUUCAAGUCAGGAGUGAAAGGCUACGGCUCAACCGUAGUAAGCUCUUGAAACUGGGAGACUUGAGGGCAGGAGAGGAGAGUGGAAUUCCUAGUGUAGCGGUGAAAUGCGUAGAUAUUAGGAGGAACACCAGUUGCGAAGGCGGCUCUCUGGACUGUAACUGACGCUGAGGCACGAAAGCGUGGGGAGCAAACAGGAUUAGAUACCCUGGUAGUCCACGCUGUAAACGAUGAGUACUAGG
rnacentral:rRNA from 1 species